rnacentral:rRNA from 1 species
AUUGAACGCUGGCGGAAUGCUUUACACAUGCAAGUCGAGCGGCAGCACGGGGGCAACCCUGGUGGCGAGCGGAGAACGGGAGAGUAAUACAACGGAACAUGCCCAGUCGUGGGGGAUAACACUUCGAAAGAAGUGCUAAAACCGCAUACGACCUGAGGGAGAAAGCGGGGGAUCGCAAGACCUCGCGGGAUUGGAUUGGCCCAUGGCAGAUUAGCUAGUUGGUGGGGUAAAGGCCUACCAAGGCUACGAUCGGUAGCUGGGCUGAGAGGAUGAUCAGCCACACUGGGACUGAGACACGACCCAGACUCCUACGGGAGGCAGCAGUGGGGAAUUUUGGACAAUGGGGGCAACCCUGAUCCAGCCGUGCCGCGUGAGUGAAGAAGGCCUUCGGGUUGUAAAGCUCUUUCGGCAGGGACGAAACGGUGAGCUCUAACAUAGCUCGCUAAUGACGGUACCUGAAGAAGAAGCACCGGCUAACUACGUG